AGCGAACGCUGGCGGCAGGCCUAACACAUGCAAGUCGAACGGAUCCUUCGGGAUUAGUGGCGGACGGGUGAGUAACACGUGGGAACGUGCCCUUUGGUUCGGAACAACUCAGGGAAACUUGAGCUAAUACCGGAUGUGCCCUUCGGGGGAAAGAUUUAUCGCCAUUGGAGCGGCCCGCGUCUGAUUAGCUAGUUGGUGAGGUAAAGGCUCACCAAGGCGACGAUCAGUAACUGGUCUGAGAGGAUGAUCAGCCACAUUGGGACUGAGACACGGCCCAAACUCCUACGGGGGGCAGCAGUGGGGAAUUUUGCGCAAUGGGCGAAAGCCUGACGCAGCCAUGCCGCGUGAAUGAUGAAGGUCUUAGGAUUGUAAAAUUCUUUCACCGGGGACGAUAAUGACGGUACCCGGAGAAGAAGCCCCGGCUAACUCCGUGCCAGCCGCCGCGGUAA
rnacentral:rRNA from 1 species